rnacentral:rRNA from 1 species
CAGUCGUACCGGCGGAUAAUCAGCCUUUCGGGUGCGAUUCUGUGGGGCGUGAGGAGCUUAACCGCCUUCAUGUUUUGCAUAUUCGUGCACAUUUGGUGUACUUGUCCGUGUGGUGGGUUAACAUCAAUUUCGGUCGUCAUGAAAUGAUUGGAGGAAUGUAGCUUUGGUCUCGUAUCGAAGUGUUAUAGCCUUGGUAGAUGUGAUGACUGAGAUUGAGGAUUGCAACGGAUACCCUUCGGGGCUACCCGUCUGAUCUCUCGAUCGUUGCUCUGGU